UAUAAAUCAGUCCAUAGGACACUACAUAGGGAAUGUUACUGCAUACCUAAUCUAGUGCACCUGUGUAGGGAAGGAGGCACUGUUUGGGACUGAGCCCAUUCCACGUCAUUGCUUCUGUGAGGUUAUAAAAAUCGCACAAUUUUGCUCAGAGUCACUUUGGAAGUACGUUUGAAGAGAGUGAACUUCUUCAUCACAUGAUGGCUCACAUUACAGCGGUGCAUCUUGGGCUCCUCUUUUUUCUGACCUGUUUAACAACACAGGUGGUGUCUCAGGCCACAACGUCUCCAAACAUAACUGCAACAAACCAGACAGUUAGCAAUGUCAACAGCACUAUGGCAACAACCCGCACGACAACCACUCUGGCUGGCGCUGCCUACCAGCUGCAAUCCAGCGUCGUCUUUGUGCUGAUAUCUGGAACCAUCUCAACCAUGCUAAUCCGCCAUCGCUGCUGAGCCACAUCUGUAGCUGGUCAUCAUUCUCCAUCUUCCACCUGAGUGUUGCUGAUAAAUGAACAUAGAUGCCCCUGUGAUAUUCCAGUAAUUUCACAAAAACCCCACUGAGAGCAGACACACUCAUUACAUUUACUAUGUCUUCACAGACCCCUGAAGAGCAGCAGAAAAUUGUUUGUACUGGAGGAGUGAAAGUGAUCAUCCUUUUCUUUUACUGAAAUAAUUGAUGUGUGCAGUAGUGUUUUAUAUACUGCAUUCAAAAUUCUACCAAAAUUUGGAUAUAUACUGAGAGAGAAACCUGUAUUCAUUUUGUUUUCUUAAUUUUUAAAGCAAGGCUGUAUUAUAUCAAUAUCUUAACAGAAGCCUACAAAUGUUUUUAUUUUUCAUUGCUCGAUCUCCCCCCCGGUGUGUGAAAUCAUACGGUUGAUAUCUAAUAGAAUUACUAAUACAACGUGCCCAAUUUGCAUCAGUAAUAAUCACAAACACCAUGAAGCAACAAAAGAAUGGAAGGAUGGAAAAUAGUUGUUAUAGAGCUUUCUGCUGGAAAAGAAUAUAAAUGCAAUAUUUCUGUAGAUUUAUCUCAGGUUACCACCAUGGCUGGAUUGGAUGUUUGUUUAGAGCUGAUACACGAGGUGUUUGGUGUCAUCUAUAUCAUGAUGCCAACAGGAAUGCUGGUGUAUAGCCAUGGAAAGGGACUGAGAAUGUCGUGUUAGAUUUUAUUUUGUAUAACUCACUAUAUGCUUCAAUAAGAAAAAGAAUCGUACAAUAAAUGAACUUAUAUGAGAACUUCUGAGGACUAGUAAUUUAUUUAGGCUUCAUCUAGAGUUUUAAAAAAAAGGUUCAAAAUGCUAAAUGCAUGUCAAAUAACUUACAGAUUUUUUUUUAACCCAUUUGCAAUCCUAUUAACAUGCUUUCCCUUGUAUUCACUUGUUCAAAUUUAAUUAUGAA
ensembl:lncRNA